CAACAAGCCAUUCUAAGACAAGCAUCACAAUUCUAGGUGGCAGAGCUGGAUCACAAAACUGUACAACGUGCUUUUCAAGCUGGCAAAACAGUUCAGUGUGUAAAGUCUGACGGCGAUCUGGAUGUCUCAGUCACCAGGACCACACUGGGCAUCUUCCAAGACUGGCUGGAUAGGCUGCAGUAUGGCUGCUUCCGUGGCCACUGAAGAAGAUUCCAGAAAAGAAGUGGACCGAAGUUCACGGUCAUCUUCAGCUACAGAGAAAUUGAAGCCAGCCUGGGCUACAUGAGCUCCUGUCUCCAAAAGAGAAGAAAAAGACAAAAAACCAGCUUCACACUUCAACAGAUCUCACAGACCCUCUCUAUUUCUCUUGCUUUGCCUAAAAGGUUUCCAGAAACUCACCUUUCUGCUCCACCCACCCACAAUCAAUCAAUCAAUCA